AACAAACGCUGGCGGCGUGCCUAAUACAUGCAAGUCGAACGAAGAAAGCUCUUCGGAGCAAGUAAGAGUGGCGCACGGGUGAGUAACGCGUGGAUAAUCUGCCCUUUAGUGGGGAACAACCUAUCGAAAGGUAGGCUAAUACCGCAUAAGACCACAGGAUCUGCGGAUCUAGUGGUUAAAGAUUUAUCGCUAUUGGAUGAGUCCGCGUAUGAUUAGCUUGUUGGUGAGGUAAUGGCUCACCAAGGCUCCGAUCAUUAGCUGGUUUGAGAGGAUGAUCAGCCACACUGGAACUGAGACACGGUCCAGACUCCUACGGGAGGCAGCAGUAGGGAAUAUUGCGCAAUGGGGGAAACCCUGACGCAGCAACGCCGCGUGUGUGAUGAAGGCUUUAGGGUCGUAAAGCACUGUCGUAAGGGAAUAUAAUGAAGGUACCUUACAAGAAAGGACCGGCUAACUUCG
rnacentral:rRNA from 1 species